AGUUAAUAAAUUUUUAAAAAUUUAUAUUUUGAAAAUAUAAUAUAGAAAUUAAAACUUUCUAUUAACUU
rnacentral:tRNA from 1 species